rnacentral:rRNA from 1 species
GAGGGUGCAAGCGUUGUUCGGAAUUACUGGGCGUAAAGGGCGCGCAGGCGGCCUCUUGAAGUCAGAUGUGAAAGCCCCGGGCUUAACCUGGGAAUUGCUUUUAAGACUGUCGGGCUAGAAUCCAGAAGAGGGUAGUGGAAUUCCGAGUGUAGAGGUGAAAUUCGUAGAUAUUCGGAAGAACACCAGUGGCGAAGGCGACUACCUGGUCUGGCAUUGACGCUCAUGUGCGAAAGCGUGGGGAGCAAACAGG